ACAGGGGGAUAACAGUUGGAAACGGCUGCUAAUACCGCAUAAGCUCACAGCAUCGCAUGAUGCAGUGUGAAAAACUCCGGUGGUAUAAGAUGGACCCGCGUUGGAUUAGCUAGUUGGUGAGGUAACGGCCCACCAAGGCGACGAUCCAUAGCCGACCUGAGAGGGUGACCGGCCACAUUGGGACUGAGACACGGCCCAAACUCCUACGGGAGGCAGCAGUGGGGAAUAUUGCACAAUGGGCGAAAGCCUGAUGCAGCGACGCCGCGUGAGCGAAGAAGUAUUUCGGUAUGUAAAGCUCUAUCAGCAGGGAAGAUAAUGACGGUACCUGACUAAGAAGCACCGGCUAAAUACGUGCCAGCAGCCGCGGUAAUACGUAUGGUGCAAGCGUUAUCCGGAUUUACUGGGUGUAAAGGGAGCGCAGGCGGUGCGGCAAGUCUGAUGUGAAAGCCCGGGGCUCAACCCCGGUACUGCAUUGGAAACUGUCGUACUAGAGUGUCGGAGGGGUAAGCGGAAUUCCUAGUGUAGCGGUGAAAUGCGUAGAUAUUAGGAGGAACACCAGUGGCGAAGGCGGCUUACUGGACGAUAACUGACGCUGAGGCUCGAAAGCGUGGGGAGCAAACAGGAUUAGAUACCCUGGUAGUCCACGCCGUAAACGA
rnacentral:rRNA from 1 species